rnacentral:rRNA from 1 species
UACGGAGGGGGCUAGCGUUGUUCGGAAUUACUGGGCGUAAAGCGCACGUAGGCGGCUUUGCAAGUUAGAGGUGAAAGCCCGGGGCUCAACUCCGGAAUUGCCUUUAAAACUGCAUCGCUAGAAUUGUGGAGAGGUAAGUGGAAUUCCGAGUGUAGAGGUGAAAUUCGUAGAUAUUCGGAAGAACACCAGUGGCGAAGGCGACUCACUGGACAGGUAUUGACGCUGAGGUGCGAAGCGUGGGAGCAAACAGG